rnacentral:rRNA from 1 species
AGACAGAGGUCCCGAGCGUUAUCCGGAUUCACUGGGCGUAAAGAGCGUGUAGGCGGCGGAGCGUGUCGACUGUGAAAGCCCCGGCUCAACCGGGGGAGGCCGGACGAAACUGCUCCGCUCGAGCCUCGGAGGGGGGAGCGGAACUGCCGGAGUAGCGGUGAAAUGCGCAGAUACCGGCAGGUACCUCGAUAGCGAAGGCAGCUCCCUGGCCGAGAGCUGACGCUGAGGCGCGAAAGCGUGGGGAGCGAACCGGAUUAGAAACCCCAGUAGUCC